rnacentral:rRNA from 1 species
UACGGGGGGGGCGAGCGUUGUUCGGAAUCGCUGGGCGUAAAGGGCGCGUAGGCGGCCCGCACAAGUCUGCGGUGAAAACCCCCGGCUUAACCGGGGGCCGGCCGUGGAAACUGUCGGGCUGGAGGCUGGGAGAGGGCAGCGGAAUUCCCGGUGUAGCGGUGAAAUGCGUAGAGAUCGGGAGGAACACCGGCGGCGAAGGCGGCUGCCUGGACCAGUCCUGACGCUGAGGCGCGAAAGCUAGGGGAGCAAACAGG